GCCUGACUGGCUCAGUCAGUCAGUAGAGCAUAUGACUCUUGAUCUGGGGGUUGUGAGUUCAAGCCUCACGUUGGGCA
rnacentral:tRNA from 1 species